GGCUAUCAGGUUUACUUUGGUGAACCAGCGGAGGGAUCAUUACCGAGUUUACAACUCCCAAACCCCUGUGAACAUACCACUUGUUGCCUCGGCGGAUCAGCCCGCUCCCGGUAAAACGGAACGGCCCGCCAGAGGACCCCUAAACUCUGUUUCUAUAUGUAACUUCUGAGUAAAACCAUAAAUAAAUCAAAACUUUCAACAACGGAUCUCUUGGUUCUGGCAUCGAUGAAGAACGCAGCAAAAUGCGAUAAGUAAUGUGAAUUGCAGAAUUCAGUGAAUCAUCGAAUCUUUGAACGCACAUUGCGCCCGCCAGUAUUCUGGCGGGCAUGCCUGUUCGAGCGUCAUUUCAACCCUCAAGCACAGCUUGGUGUUGGGACUCGCGUUAAUUCGCGUUCCCCAAAUUGAUUGGCGGUCACGUCGAGCUUCCAUAGCGUAGUAGUAAAACCCUCGUUACUGGUAAUCGUCGCGGCCACGCCGUUAAACCCCAACUUCUGAAUGUUGACCUCGGAUCAGGUAGGAAUACC
rnacentral:rRNA from 1 species